CACUCCUACGGGAGGCAGCAGUGGGGAAUAUUGCACGAUGGGCGCAAGCCUGAUGCAGCCAUGCCGCGUGUAUGAAGAAGGCCUUCGGGUUGUAAAGUACUUUCAGCGGGGAGGAAGGCAAUACGGUUAAUAACCGUGUUGAUUGACGUUACCCGCAGAAGAAGCACCGGCUAACUCCGUGCCAGCAGCCGCGGUAAUACGGAGGGUGCAAGCGUUAAUCGGAAUUACUGGGCGUAAAGCGCACGCAGGCGGUCUGUCAAGUCGGAUGUGAAAUCCCCGGGCUCAACCUGGGAACUGCAUUCGAAACUGGCAGGCUUGAGUCUUGUAGAGGGGGGUAGAAUUCCAGGUGUAGCGGUGAAAUGCGUAGAGAUCUGGAGGAAUACCGGUGGCGAAGGCGGCCCCCUGGACAAAGACUGACGCUCAGGUGCGAAAGCGUGGGGAGCAAACAGGAUUAGAUACCCCAGUAGUCCCAUGA
rnacentral:rRNA from 1 species